CUCACUGGGACCGGUUGGACAGUGGAUGCAGCCCAUGGAGGAAACAGAGAUUCAAAAGGGUCAGGUCACUGGCUCCAGGUCAACUCUACUACUAAACAGAAAAGCAAGGACCAAAAUUCAGAUCUUUGUGACCCUCAAUGCCACUAUGCCAUGCGAUGAUGCCUGCCUCUUUUAGAGGCCAACUAAUAGGCCAACUUGAUUUUCUUGAGGAAUGGCCGAAUGGAAGUUGAAUGGUUGAAGGUGACUGGCAAACAGAGAAACAAGGCACCAAGAACUGGCUAUUUCCAAACGUGGGCAAUCAGCUUCUGAAUGAAUAGUUCAGAAUGAUGCAGCUCUGGAUGUUGGAAAGGACAAUUCCGGCGUUUUACUCUUCUGACCAGUUUCUUCGUUUUCAUAACUCUACUUGAAGAACAUAUGAUGUUUGCCAGUGUCUGACAUUACGGACCUCACAGCUUACUGAAUCUGAAAACAGGAGAUAGAGAUGGAAAGGAAAGCCUCAGGAACUUGUUGCAAUAGGGACUGCCAGGUCCCGUUGCACUAUUGGUGGAAGAGAGGUCCACACGGUGCCUACGAUAAGCGAUUUGUUCGUAUCUAUCCAGACUGCAGGUGCAUACAGCCACUCAUCCUCAAAUGCCAUCCUCAGGAGUUUAUGCUGCACACAGACUGGCACAUGUGCAGGAAGACAUAGUGCAGGGCUACGUGCUACAACAUUGUUGGUGACAGCAACAUAUUGGAAGCAACCUGAAUUUUUGUUAAUAGAGGAUUGGCUACAUAAAUGAUGCUAAUCUAUACAACUGGAGUACUAUGAUGCCAUAAAAAAGAAUGUACAAGGUCUUUACGUUUGGAAAGAUCUCUAAGAUAUAAUGAUUUUCUUUGCCUCUCAAGGGAGCUGGGAGAAACUCAAGUCUGAAACUCAAACUCAUCUCAGUCAUUCCUUUCCCUUCAACUAGACCUGAACCUCAGGAGAUCUGGAGUAUGUGCUGAAUUCUACUGGGAACUGAGCCCUCUGAAUAUUAUUAUUGUUUUGCUAAUACUUUUUGCUGGAAAGUACAUCAAACCAGGAUGUGUUGUACCUCUUGCUUUGCCAGACUAUUUAAAAGCAAAAGUGACCAGAUAUCCAACUUAAGGCUGAUCCAGGUUUUUCAUGAUCUAGCCAGGGGAGACAAACCUUCCAGGAAAGUCUCUAGCGAAGGCCAAGGAUUUUAGAAAGUAUCUGUGAACAAAGAAAUGCAAUGUUAGUGGGCUAAUUUCCAUAAUCAAAUGAAGCUGAUGCAAGUGCUUUGUGAAUUGAUGCCCAUCAACGAGAGACUGGAUAAAGAAAAUGUGGCACAUAUACGCCAUGGAAUACUAUGUAGCCGUAAAAAUG
rnacentral:lncRNA from 1 species